GCCUGGCUGGCUCAGUAGGCAGAGCCUGAAACUCUUGAUCUCAGAGUUGUGAGUUCAAGCCCUACAUUGGGCA
rnacentral:tRNA from 1 species